rnacentral:lncRNA from 1 species
CUUGACAUAAGAUAUAAGGGUCCAUCAUUUUAACAAUAUGUUUGAUAUCCUCUUGAAGUCCUUUCAGGAUAAACUCUAGAAAAAUUCCUCUGAAAUGGAAGGGCUUCUCAUUAACACCGAAGACUUCAAGUCUUCAAACUUCCUCAAGGAAUCAUUGACUGUGUCUUUUUGUUCUAUGUUUUGAAUUUUCCCAUGAGAUUAGAUUUGUUGUUGAUUGCUUCCUCAAAUCUUCUACAGAUUUCUUCACAUAAUUCUUUCCAAGAAAAUAUUUCUGUUUCUUAAAUGAUAAGAGACAUACCAAACUUCAGCCUUGUCAUUCAAAUGCAACAUUGUCAUCUAUGACUUCUAUUAUGGGUAAUUGGUGUGGUGAUAAUGAAAGCAUCUUUCACACCUCAACCAAAAUCAAGGGUCCUCCCCCCUCUUUCCACCGAAGUAUGAAAACCCAAUCUUGGAUUCAUGACUAUGGUGGAAGGAUCUCUUUAUAACCAUAGGAUUCACCAUCUGCUUUCAUCUUUGUCUGAUGUUGGAUCCUUUCAGUAAUGCUAUCUUUCCUUGGUGCACUACCCAAAAUUUCCGCAUGAUUUAGAGGCAUCUUCUACACUAAUAGAUCUAAUUUCUUACCUAGUCGAACUUCUUA